rnacentral:rRNA from 1 species
UCGGGAAUUUUGGGCAAUGGGCGAAAGCCUGACCCAGCAACGCCGCGUGAAGGAUGAAGUAUUUCGGUAUGUAAACUUCGAAAGAAUGGGAAGAAUAAAUGACGGUACCAUUUAUAAGCUCCGGCUAACUACGUGCCAGCAGCCGCGGUAAUACGUAGGGAGCAAGCGUUGUUCGGAUUUACUGGGCGUAAAGGGCGCGUAGGCGGCGUGUUAAGUCAGCUGUGAAAUCUCUGAGCUCAACUCAGAACGGCCAGCUGAUACUGAUGUGCUAGAGUGCAGAAAGGGCAAUCGGAAUUCUUGGUGUAGCGGUGAAAUGCGUAGAUAUCAAGAGGAACACCUGAGGCGAAGGCGGGUUGCUAGGCUGACACUGACGCUGAGGCGCGAAAGCCAGGGGAGCAAACGGG